rnacentral:rRNA from 1 species
GACGAACGCUGGCGGCGUGCCUAAUACAUGCAAGUCGAGCGGACCGAUGGGAGCUUGCUCCUUUAGGUUAGCGGCGGACGGGUGAGUAACACGUGGGCAACCUGCCCUGCAGACUGGGAUAACUCCGGGAAACCGGGGCUAAUACCGGAUAAUCCAUCGAACCGCAUGGUUCGGUGUUGAAAGAUGGCUUUUAGCUAUCACUUGUAGAUGGGCCCGCGGCGCAUUAGCUAGUUGGUAGGGUAAUGGCCUACCAAGGCAACGAUGCGUAGCCGACCUGAGAGGGUGAUCGGCCACACUGGGACUGAGACACGGCCCAG